rnacentral:rRNA from 1 species
UAACAGGAUUCCCCUAGUAACUGCGAGUGAAGCGGGAAAAGCUCAAAUUUAAAAUCUGGCGGUCUCCGGCCGUCCGAGUUGUAAUUUAGAGAAGCGUUAUCCGUGCUGGACCGUGUAUAAGUCUCCUGGAAUGGAGCGUCAUAGAGGGUGAGAAUCCCGUCUUUGACACGGACUACCAGUGCAUUGUGAUGCGCUCUCGACGAGUCGAGUUGUUUGGGAAUGCAGCUCAAAAUGGGUGGUAAAUGCCAUCUAAAGCUAAAUAUUGGCGAGAGACCGAUAGCGAACAAGUACCGUGAGGGAAAGAUGAAAAGAACUUUGGAAAGAGAGUUAAACAGUACGUGAAAUUGUCGAAAGGGAAACGGUUGCAGUCAGUCGCGUCCGCCGGGGAUCAACCUUGCUUUUGCUUGGCGUAUUUCCCGGUGGAUGGGUCAGCAUCAGUUUUGACCGCAGUUGAAAGGCUGGAGGAAUGUGGCACCUUCGGGUGUGUUAUAGCCUCCUGUCAUAUGCUGCGGUUGGGACUGAGGAACUCAGCACGCCGCAAGGCCGGGAUUCGUCCACGUUCGUGCUUAGGAUGCUGGCAUAAUGUCUGUAACCGACCCGUCUUGAAACACGGACCAAGGAGUCUAACAUGCACGCGAGUGUUUGGGUGGCAAACCCGAGCGCGUAAUGAAAGUGAAAGUUGAGACCUCUGUCGUGGAGGGCAUCGACGCCCGGACCAGAACUUUUGGGACGGAUCCGCGGUAGAGCGUGUAUGUUGGGACCCGAAAGAUGGUGAACUAUGCCUGAAUAGGGCGAAGCCAGAGGAAACUCUGGUGGAGGCUCGUAGCGAUUCUGACGUGCAAAUCGAUCGUCGAAUUUGGG